rnacentral:rRNA from 1 species
UACAGAGGUCUCAAGCGUUGUUCGGAUUCAUUGGGCGUAAAGGGUGCGUAGGUGGCGCGGUAAGUCGGUGUGAAAUUUCGGAGCUUAACUCCGAAACUGCAUUCGAUACUGCCGUGCUUGAGGACUGGAGAGGAGACUGGAAUUUACGGUGUAGCAGUGAAAUGCGUAGAUAUCGUAAGGAAGACCAGUGGCGAAGGCGGGUC